AAUCUCUCCCAAAACUCACAGAAUUUUAUUUAUUUAAUGUUUUAGAGUCAGCUAUGAUUGUUUAUUAUUAUAGAAGAGGCAUCAAUUUCAUUCAGGUUUUUUUUUUAAUUUUUAUUUUUAAUUUAUUUUACAGUACUGUAUUGGUUUUGCCAUACAUUGACAUGACUCCACCACGGGUAUACAUGCGUUCCCAAACAUGAAACCCCCUCCCACCUCCUUCCCCAUAACAUCUCUCUGGGUCAUCACCAUGCACCAGCCCCAAGCAUGCUGUAUCCUGCAUCGGACAUAGACUGGCGAUUCGAUUCUUACAUGAUAGUAUACAUGUUACAAUGCCAUUCUCCCAAAUCAUCCCACCCUCUCCCUCUCCCUCUGAGUCCAAAAAUCCGUUAUACACAUCUGUGUCUUUUUUCCUGUCUUGCAUACAGGGUCAUCAUUGCCAUCUUUCUAAAUUCCAUAUAUAUGUGUUAGUAUACUAUAUUGGUGUUUUUCUUUCUGGCUUACUUCACUCUGUAUAAUCGGCUCCAGUUUCAGAUGGAAAGAAUUCUUAGUUUUAUUGAAGUAAAUUUUAUCAAUUUCUCCUUAAUGGUUUGUGUGUUGUCUUGUAAAUAUUUUCCUACUCAGAAAAUAUGAAGAUGUUCUCCCACAUUUUAUUCAAGAAGUUUUAUAAUUUUUACUUCCUA
rnacentral:lncRNA from 1 species